rnacentral:rRNA from 1 species
UCCGUAGGUGAACCUGCGGAGGGAUCGUUACCGAGUGAGGGCUCCGGCCCAACCUCCAACCCUUUGUGAACUCGACCCAGUUGCCUCGGGGGCGACCCGGCCUUCGGGCGUCGGGGCCUCCGGCGGACCACUCAACCCUGCAUCGUUGCGUCCGAGUCGUGAUAUAAAUCAAUCAAAACUUUCAACAACGGAUCUCUUGGUUCUGGCAUCGAUGAAGAACGCAGCGAAAUGCGAUAAGUAAUGUGAAUUGCAGAAUUCAGUGAAUCAUCGAAUCUUUGAACGCACAUUGCGCCCCUCGGUAUUCCGGGGGGCAUGCCUGUUCGAGCGUCAUUACACCACUCAAGCCUGGCUUGGUAUUGGGCGCCGCGGCUCGCCGCGCGCCCCAACGUCUCCGGCUGGGCCCCUCGCCUCGAAGCGUCGUGACAUCUGUUUUCGCUCGCGAGCGCGGGAGGCCUUCCACGCCGUCAAAACGCCCCCAUCAAAGGUUGACCUCGGAUCAGGUAGGGAUACCCGCUGAACUUAAGCAUAUCAAUAAGCGGAGGAAAAGAAACCAACAGGGAUUGCCCCAGUAACG